rnacentral:rRNA from 1 species
CCUAGGGGGGGCAGCAGUGGGGGAUAUUGCACAAUGGGCGCAAGCCUGAUGCAGCGACGCCGCGUGAGCGAAGAAGGAUUUCGGUAUGGAAAGCUCUAUCAGCAGGGAAGAAAAUGACGGUACCUGACUAAGAAGCUCCGGCUAAAUACGUGCCAGCAGCCGCGGUAAUACGGAUGGAGCAAGCGUUAUCCGGAUUUACUGGGUGUAAAGGGAGCGUAGGCGGCUCUGGAAGUCUGAUGUGAAAAUGUGGGGCUCAACCCCAAACGUGCAUGGGAAACUGCCGGGCUUGAGUGCCGGAGAGGCAGGCGGAAUUCCUAGUGUAGCGGUGAUAUGCGUAGAUAUUAGGAGGAACACCAGUGGCGAAGGCGGCCUGCUGCACCGUCACUGACGCUGAGGCUCGAAAGCGUGGGGAUCAAACAGGAUUAGAUACCCGAGUAGUC